UACAGAGGGGGCAAGCGUUGUUCGGAAUUACUGGGCGUAAAGGGCGCGUAGGCGGCCUGUUAAGUCGAACGUGAAAUCCCCGGGCUCAACCCGGGAACUGCGUCCGAUACUGGCAGGCUUGAAUUCGGGAGAGGGAUGUGGAAUUCCCGGUGUAGUGGUGAAAUGCGUAGAUAUCGGGAGGAACACCAGUGGCGAAGGCGACUUCCUGGCCUGUUCUUGACGCUGAGGCGCGAAAGCUAGGGUAGCAAACGGG
rnacentral:rRNA from 1 species